UACGUAGGGGGCUAGCGUUGUCCGGAAUCAUUGGGCGUAAAGCGCGUGUAGGCGGUCCGGUAAGUCCGCUGUGAAAGUCGGGGGCUCAACCCUCGGAUGCCGGUGGAUACUGUCGGGCUCGAGUACGGAAGAGGCGAGUGGAAUUCCUGGUGUAGCGGUGAAAUGCGCAGAUAUCAGGAGGAACACCAAUUGCGAAAGCAGCUCUCUGGGACGGUACUGACGCUGAGACGCGAAAGCGUGGGGAGCGAACAGG
rnacentral:rRNA from 1 species